rnacentral:siRNA from 1 species
UGGUUUCUGAUGGUGUGCAUCC